rnacentral:rRNA from 1 species
CCUACGGGGGGCAGCAGUGGGGAAUAUUGCACAAUGGGCGAAAGCCUGAUGCAGCCAUGCCGCGUGUGUGAAGAAGGCCUUCGGGUUGUAAAGCACUUUCAGCGAGGAGGAAAGGGUAACGAUUAAUACUCGUUAUCUGUGACGUUACUCGCAGAAGAAGCACCGGCUAACUUCGUGCCAGCAGCCGCGGUAAUACGAGGGGUGCAAGCGUUAAUCGGAAUUACUGGGCGUAAAGCGUGCGUAGGCGGUUUGUUAAGCAAGAUGUGAAAGCCCCGGGCUCAACCUGGGAACUGCAUUUUGAACUGACAGGCUAGAGUACUGUAGAGGGUGGUGGAAUUUCCAGUGUAGCGGUGAAAUGCGUAGAGAUUGGAAGGAACAUCAGUGGCGAAGGCGGCCACCUGGACAGAUACUGACGCUGAGGCACGAAAGCGUGGGGAGCA